AUUGAACGCUGGCGGCAGGCCUAACACAUGCAAGUCGAGCGAGCGGCGGACGGGUGAGUAAUGUAUGGGGACUGCCCGAUAGAGGGGGAUAACUACUGGAAACGGUGGCUAAUACCGCAUACUAUCGGAUAACCCAUAUGGGAUUAGCUAGUAGGUGGGGUAAAGGCUCACCUAGGCGACGAUCUCUAGCUGGUCUGAGAGGAUGAUCAGCCCAACUUGGACGGAGGCCAGGCCCCGGCUCCUUCGGAGGCAGCCGUGGGGAAUGUUGCACAAUGGGCGGAAGCCUGAUGCAGCCAUGCCGCGUGUAUGAAGAAGGCCUUAGGGUUGUAAAGUACUUUCAGCGUGGAGGCGUUACCCACAGAAGAAGCCCCGGCUAACUCCGUGCCAGCAGCCGCGGUAAUAC
rnacentral:rRNA from 1 species